rnacentral:rRNA from 1 species
AUUGAACGCUGGCGGCAGGCCUAACACAUGCAAGUCGAACGAGUGGCGGACGGGUUAGUAAUGUCUGGAAAACUGCCUGAUUGAGGGGGAUAACUACUGGCAACGGUAGCUAAUACCGCAUACCAUCAGAUGUGCCCAGAUGGGAUUAGCUUGUUGGUGGGGUACCGGGUCACCAAGGCGCAGAUCCCUAGCUGGUCUGCGAGGAUGACCGGCCACACUGGAACUGAGACACGGUCCAGACUCCUACGGUAGGCAGCAGUGGGGAAUAUUGGACAAUGGGCGCAAGCCUGAUGCAGCCAUGCCGCGUGUAUGAAGAAGGCCUGCGGGUUGUAAAGUACUUUCAGCGGGGAGGCGUUACCCGCAGAAGAAGCGCCGGCUAACUCCGUGCCAGCAGCCGCGGUAAUAC